rnacentral:rRNA from 1 species
GACGAACGCUGGCGGCGUGCUUAACACAUGCAAGUCGAACGGAAAGGCCCUGCUUUUGUGGGGUGCUCGAGUGGCGAACGGGUGAGUAACACGUGAGUAACCUGCCCUUGACUUUGGGAUAACUUCAGGAAACUGGGGCUAAUACCGGAUAGGGGCUCCUGCUGCAUGGUGGGGGUUGGAAAGUUUCGGCGGUUGGGGAUGGACUCGCGGCUUAUCAGCUUGUUGGUGGGGUAGUGGCUUACCAAGGCUUUGACGGGUAGCCGGCCUGAGAGGGUGACCGGCCACAUUGGGACUGAGAUACGGCCCAGACUCCUACGGGAGGCAGCGGUGGGGAAUAUUGCACAAUGGGCGGAAGCCUGAUGCAGCAACGCCGCGUGCGGGAUGACGGCCUUCGGGUUGUAAACCGCUUUCGCCUGUGACGAAGCGUGAGUGACGGUAAUGGGUAAAGAAGCACCGGCUAACUACGUG